UACGAAGGGGGCUAGCGUUGCUCGGAAUCACUGGGCGUAAAGCGCACGUAGGCGGAUUCCUAAGUCGGGGGUGAAAUCCUGGAGCUCAACCCCGGAACUGCAUUCGAUACUGGCAGGCUAGAGACCGGAAGAGGUGGGUGGAAUACCCAGUGUAGAGGUGAAAUUCGUAGAUAUUGGGUGGAACACCGGUGGCGAAGGCGGCUCACUGGUCCGGUUCUGACGCUGAGACGCGAAAGCGUGGGUAGCAAACAGG
rnacentral:rRNA from 1 species